UACGAAGGGGGCUAGCGUUGCUCGGAAUCACUGGGCGUAAAGGGUGCGUAGGCGGGUCUUUAAGUCAGGGGUGAAAUCCUGGAGCUCAACUCCAGAACUGCCUUUGAUACUGAAGAUCUUGAGUCCGGGAGAGGUGAGUGGAACUGCGAGUGUAGAGGUGAAAUUCGUAGAUAUUCGCAAGAACACCAGUGGCGAAGGCGGCUCUCUGGACCUGUCCUGACGCUCAGGCGCGAAAGCUAGGGGAGCGAACGAGGA
rnacentral:rRNA from 1 species